UACGUAGGUGGCAAGCGUUGUCCGGAUUUAUUGGGCGUAAAGAGCGCGCAGGCGGUCCGUUAAGUCCGAGGUGAAAUCUCCCGGCUCAACUGGGAGGGGUCUUCGGAUACUGGCGGACUUGAGGAGAGCAGAGGUGAGUGGAAUUCUGGGUGUAGUGGUGAAAUGCGUAGAUAUCCAGAGGAACACCAGUGGCGAAGGCGGCUCACUGGGCUCCACCUGACGCUGAGGCGCGAAAGCGUGGGGAGCGAACCGG
rnacentral:rRNA from 1 species